UACGGAGGGUGCAAGCGUUGUUCGGAAUUACUGGGCGUAAAGGGCUCGUAGGUGGCCAACUAAGUCAUACGUGAAAUCCCUCGGCUUAACCGGGGAACUGCGUCUGAUACUGGAUGGCUUGAGGUUGGGAGAGGGAUGCGGAAUUCCAGGUGUAGCGGUGAAAUGCGUAGAUAUCUGGAGGAACACCGGUGGCGAAGGCGGCAUCCUGGACCAAUUCUGACACUGAGGAGCGAAAGCCAGGGGAGCAAACGGG
rnacentral:rRNA from 1 species